UACGGGGGGGGGCAAGCGUUGUUCGGAAUUACUGGGCGUAAAGGGCUCGUAGGUGGCCAACUAAGUCAGACGUGAAAUCCCUCGGCUUAACCGGGGAACUGCGUCUGAUACUGGAUGGCUUGAGUUCGGGAGAGGGAUGCGGAAGUUCCAGGUGUAGCGGUGAAAUGCGUAGAUAUCUGGAGGAACACCGGUGGCGAAGGCGGCAUCCUGGACCGACACUGACGCUGAGGCGCGAAAGCUAGGGGAGCAAACGGG
rnacentral:rRNA from 1 species